rnacentral:rRNA from 1 species
GAUGAACGCUGGCGGCGUGCCUAAUACAUGCAAGUCGAGCGAACAGACGAGGAGCUUGCUCCUUUGACGUUAGCGGCGGACGGGUGAGUAACACGUGGAUAACCUACCUAUAAGACUGGGAUAACUUCGGGAAACCGGAGCUAAUACCGGAUAACAUGUUGAACCGCAUGGUUCAACAGUGAAAGACGGUCUUGCUGUCACUUAUAGAUGGAUCCGCGCCGCAUAAGCUAGUUGGUAAGGUAACGGCUUACCAAGGCAACGAUGCGUAGCCGACCUGAGAGGGUGAUCGGCCACACUGGAACUGAGGCACGGUCCAGACUCCUACGGGAGGCAGCAGUAGGGAAUCUUCCGCAAUGGGCGAAAGCCUGACGGAGCAACGCCGCGUGAGUGAAGAAGGUCUUCGGAUCGUAAAACUCUGUUAUUAGGGAAGAACAAAUGUGUAAGUAACUAUGCACGUCUUGACGGUACCUAAUCAGAAAGCCACGGCUAACUACGUG